CGCCCGAUUGCCGACCCU
rnacentral:siRNA from 1 species